UACGAAGGGGACUAGCGUUGUUCGGAAUCACUGGGCGUAAAGCGCACGUAGGCGGAUUCGUAAGUCAGGGGUGAAAUCCCGGGGCUCAACCUCGGAACUGCCUUUGAUACUGCCGUGCUUGAGGACUGGAGAGGAGACUGGAAUUUACGGUGUAGCGGUGAAAUGCGUAGAUAUCGUAAGGAAGACCAGUGGCGAAGGCGGGUCUCUGGACAGUUCCUGACGCUGAGGCACGAAGGCCAGGGGAGCAAACGGG
rnacentral:rRNA from 1 species